rnacentral:rRNA from 1 species
AUACGGAGGGGACUAGCGUUGUUCGGAAUUACUGGGCGUAAAGCGUACGUAGGCGGAUCGGAAAGUAUAGGGUGAAAUCCCAGGGCUCAACCCUGGAACUGCCUUAUAAACUCCCGGUCUUGAGUUCGAGAGAGGUGAGUGGAAUUCCGAGUGUAGAGGUGAAAUUCGUAGAUAUUCGGAGGAACACCAGUGGCGAAGGCGGCUCACUGGCUCGAUACUGACGCUGAGGUACGAAAGUGUGGGGAGCAAACAGGAUUAGAAACCCUAGUAGUCC